rnacentral:misc_RNA from 1 species
AAGUCGUAACAAGGUUUCCGUAGGUGAACCUGCGGAAGGAUCAUUAUCACAAAAUGAUUUUUAAGGUCUCUCUUAAUCCAGAGCCUUAAACCUCUUCUCUUAAACCAAUUUAAUUCAAAUGUGAAACUGUCUUUUUAUUUUGUUUCUUUUGGACGGAUGAUUGGCCCCUCUGGCAUUUUUGUCGGGAAGCCUUUCAGAAACCAAAACAAACAUUAUUUCUUUUAACCAAUUGAACCCUUUUCUAAUUUAUUGUUAUUUUAUUUCUAUUUUAGUUCUGAAAUAUUUUAUUUAAUAUAACCUCUCUUCGGGGAUGUGUUAUACUGAAUAAAAAUUUACAUUACGAAACAAUAUAUAAUAAAACAACUCUUAGCAACGGAUAUCUUGGUUCUC